rnacentral:rRNA from 1 species
CCCGUAACGAGCGCAACCCUUGUCCUUAGUUACCAGCACGUUAUGUGGGCACUCUAAGGAGACUGCCGGUGACAAACCGGAGGAAGGUGGGGAUGACGUCAAGUCAUCAUGGCCCUUACGGCCUGGGCUACACACGUGCUACAAUGGUCGGUACAAAGGGUUGCCAAGCCGCGAGGUGGAGCUAAUCCCAUAAAACCGAUCGUAGUCCGGAUCGCAGUCUGCAACUCGACUGCGUGAAGUCGGAAUCGCUAGUAAUCGUGAAUCAGAAUGUCACGGUGAAUACGUUCCCGGGCCUU